rnacentral:tRNA from 1 species
UGCGCCCUUAGCGCAAUUGGAUAGAGCGUCUGACCUCGGAUCAGAAGGUUGAAAGUUCGAACCCUUCAGGGCGCAU